UACGUAGGGUGCAAGCGUUGUCCGGAAUUAUUGGGCGUAAAGAGCUCGUAGGCGGUUUGUCGCGUCUGCUGUGAAAACUCGGGGCUUAACCCCGGGCCUGCAGUGGGUACGGGCAGACUAGAGUGCGGUAGGGGAGACUGGAAUUCCUGGUGUAGCGGUGAAAUGCGCAGAUAUCAGGAGGAACACCGGUAGCGAAGGCGGGUCUCUGGGCCGAUAUUGACGCUGAGGAGCGAAAGCGUGGGGAGCGAACAGG
rnacentral:rRNA from 1 species